GAUGAACGCUGGCGGCGUGCCUAAUACAUGCAAGUCGAGCGAACAGACGAGGAGCUUGCUCCUCUGACGUUAGCGGCGGACGGGUGAGUAACACGUGGAUAACCUACCUAUAAGACUGGGAUAACUUCGGGAAACCGGAGCUAAUACCGGAUAAUAUAUUGAACCGCAUGGUUCAAUAGUGAAAGACGGUUUUGCUGUCACUUAUAGAUGGAUCCGCGCCGCAUUAGCUAGUUGGUAAGGUAACGGCCUACCAAGGCAACGAUGCGUAGCCGACCUGAGAGGGUGAUCGGCCACACUGGAGCUGAGACACGGUCCAGACUCCUACGGGAGGCAGCAGUAGGGAAUCUUCCGCAAUGGGCGAAAGCAUGACGGAACAACGCCGCGUGAGUGAUGAAGGUCUUCGGAUCGUAAAACUCUGUUAUUAGGGAAGAACAAAUGUGUAAGUAACUGUGCACGUCUUGACGGUACCUAAUCAGAAAGCCACGGCUAACUACGUG
rnacentral:rRNA from 1 species